rnacentral:rRNA from 1 species
UACGUAAGUCCCGAGCGUUGUCCGGAUUUAUUGGGCGUAAAGCGAGCGCAGGUGGUUUAUUAAGUCUGGUGUAAAAGGCAGUGGCUCAACCAUUGUAUGCAUUGGAAACUGGUAGACUUGAGUGCAGGAGAGGAGAGUGGAAUUCCAUGUGUAGCGGUGAAAUGCGUAGAUAUAUGGAGGAACACCGGUGGCGAAGGCGGCCUGCUGGACUGCAACUGACGUUGAGGCCCGAAAGCGUGGGGAGCAAACAGG